CGCCGCUGAAAUACAUGUAUCAGGGAGGUGUUUAUGUGAAAUGUGAAGGGAAUUACUUCAUUAUUUACUAUUUUAUUUAUUUGAGAUAUAGUGCUGAGAGGAAGAGGUUAUAUGCUGGAGUCUAGAAGACGCCACAUGACCGUUUUUGAUUCUAAAGAUGAAGUGAAAAAUUCCUGCUUAGAAAAGAUAGUUGUCUUCCAUGUGUACCAUUCUGCUUGAUUAUGGCUGAUCCUUUAUCAGGCAUUGCAAUUAUAAUAUGCAUCGCAUUUGGUGUUUUAACAAAUAAAAAGGUUUUCUCUGAAAUCAAAAUCUGGUCCUCAUACUCCCAUAGCUCAAGAUGCACCGAAG